UACAGAGGUGGCAAGCGUUGUUCAGAAUUACUGGGCGUAAAGGGCGCGUAGGCGGUUCGAUAAGUCCCGUGUGAAAUCCCUCGGCUCAACUGAGGAACUGCACGGGAAACUGACGGGCUUGAGUUCGGGAGAGGGAAGCGGAAUUCCGGGUGUAGCGGUGAAAUGCGCAGAUAUCAGGAGGAACACCGGUGGCGAAGGCGGGUCUCUGGGCCGUAACUGACGCUGAGGAGCGAAAGCGUGGGGAGCGAACAGG
rnacentral:rRNA from 1 species